ACGGGUGAGUAACACGUGGGUAAUCUGCCCUCGGCACCGGGAUAGCCCGGGGAAACCCGGAUUAAUACCGGAUAGCCUUUCGAGUCUUCGGAUUCGUCAGAAAAGGUAGCUUCGGCUUCCGGCUGAGGAUGAGCCCGCGGCGGAUUAGCUUGUUGGUGGGGUAAUGGCCCACCAAGGCGACGAUCCGUAGCUGGUCUGAGAGGACGAUCAGCCACACUGGGACUGAGACACGGCCCAGACUCCUACGGGAGGCAGCAGUGGGGAAUCUUGCGCAAUGGGCGAAAGCCUGACGCAGCGACGCCGCGUGCGGGAAGAAGGCCUUCGGGUUGUAAACCGCUUUCAGGAGGGACGAAGCCACUCGGGUUAAUAGCCCAGAGGGUGACGGUACCUCCAGAAAA
rnacentral:rRNA from 1 species